ensembl:lncRNA novel transcript
GCACUCAGCCCACUCGCACCCGGGUGAAUAAACAGCCUUUGUUGCUCACACUUAGCCUGUUCAAGUUGUCUCUUCAAUUAGAUGCUCGCAUAACAUUUGGUGCCGAAAGCCCGGGAUAGGGGAACUCCUCCGGCAGACCUCUCCUCUAUCCUCCCGGUACCCACGUUCUCCCAUGCAAGAGACUUCCCUCGCCCUCAGGACCUCAGACCAGCUCCGCGAGCACUCCGGCCUCUGUCUAUGGAUAUGGUUCCCACGCCGUCCCUAAGCCUGCUCGAAGAAGCCCUGAAAAACAUCGCCCAUCAUCUCUCCAUACCAUCCCCAAAAUUUUCACCACCCCAACAUUUCACUACUUUUUCUUGUUUUGUUUUGUUAGCAUAAAAAGACAGGAAUGUAAGGUCCUCUGAGCAGGCGGCGCCAUGGUCAAGCCAUCGUGACCCCUGUGACUCACACGUACACAUCCAGAAGGUCUCCUGGAGCCAGAAAGUCUGGGACGACAGGAAAACCACAAAAGAAGAAAAA